rnacentral:rRNA from 1 species
CGGCAAUGGAGGAAACUCUGACCGAGCAACGCCGCGUGAACGAUGAAGUAUUUCGGUACGUAAAGUUCUUUUAUUAGGGAAGAAUAAAUGAUGGAAAAAUCAUUCUGACGGUACCUAAUGAAUAAGCCCCGGCUAAUUAUGUGCCAGCAGCCGCGGUAAUACAUAGGGGGCAAGCGUUAUCCGGAAUUAUUGGGCGUAAAGGGUGCGUAGGCUGUUAAAUAAGUUUAUGGUCUAAGUGCAAUGCUCAACAUUGUGAUGCUAUAAAAACUGUUUAGCUAGAGUAAGAUAGAGGCAAGUGGAAUUCCAUGUGUAGUGGUAAAAUGCGUAAAUAUAUGGAGGAACACCAGUAGCGAAGGCGGCUUGCUGGGUCUUUACUGACGCUGAGGCACGAAAGCGUGGGGAGCAAACAGGAUUAGAUACCCUGGUAGUCCACGCCGUAAACGAUGAGUACUAAACGUUGGGUAAAACCAGUGUUGAAGUUAACACAUUAAGUACUCCGCCUGAGUAGUACGUACGCAAGUAUGAAACUUAAAGGAAUUGACGGGACUCCGCACAAGCGGUGGAUCAUGUUGUUUAAUUCGAAGGUACCCGAAAAACCUCACCAGGUCUUGACAUGCUUCUGCAAAGCUGUAGAAACACAGUGGAGGUUAUCAGUUGCACAGGUGGUGCAUGGUUGUCGUCAGCUCGUGUCGUGAGAUGUUGGGUUAAGUCCCGCAACGAGCGCAACCCUUAUUGUUAGUUGCCAGCACGUAAUGGUGGGGACUUUAGCAAGACUGCCAAUGAUAAAUUGGAGGAAGGUGGGGACGACGUCAAAUCAGCAUGCCCCUUAUGACCUGGGCUACAAACGUGAUACAAUGGCUGUUACAAAGAGUAGCUGAA